rnacentral:lncRNA from 1 species
UAGCAGUGGCACGCUCAUACACAAAAGAAAAUUGACUUAUUGACCACAAAUGGUUUUCAAGUCAAUAGGGAACUUUACCUUACCAUCACAGAAACAAAUCUAAAACGGGUGAACAAUUUGAAAGGCCCAAGUACCACAAAAGGCAUGGGUUUCAGCUUAGAUUAUUGAUCUGUAACUUGUCCCAGUGGGGUAAACCCUAUUCCUCUUUCUCUAUUGCUUCGUUUUCAAUCUCAGUUUGUUGGAGUGCAUUUUCACUGCCAACAGUAGCACGCUCACAAACAAACACACCAAUCUGUUGGCCAACUCCUGGCCAUGCCAAUAACAAAGGAACAAACACCUUCAUAUCAAAUUCAAGAAUAUUAACAAGAUUAGCAAAAUGAACGACGACCACAAUACAAGCUUUCAAAUAGUUUUCGCAGCAAGAGACACUCCCGCCAACAUAUUUACUCAUGCUGAACUUGAAAUAGACUAGUCCGG